GCAUGGGACUAGGCAUGAGGGAUAGCUCAUGUUAGUUCAACUCGGAACACGUAACCGUCGACAAACAGCUUCCAAGUACACACACUACCUCAAUAUAUAAGAGCGUUCAUUCCGUAACAAUUCGCUGUUUGCGGACCAUCAUCAGUGAUCACCUUCUUCUCAUACACAGUUACACACUCUCUCUCUCUCUCUCUCUCUCUCCCCGCGUGUGACACUUUUAUUGGAAGAAACUGUGAUUUGUUGUCAAUUUAUUUUCUCUCUGCAACUAUCUUCCUCUCUCACCGAUCAUGGAGAGGCCUCUGCUCAGUAGAGAAAACAGUGGAGCUGUGAAUCGCCGGAGAGAACGGUUUAAUCGGUCUCAAGCUAUUGCCUACGGCUCGCCUUAUGAAAAGGCUGCCGCACUGGUUGAUCUGGCUGAAGAUGGAAUUGGUUUACCUGAACAAAUUCUUGAACAAUCAAACUUCCAGAAUGCUGCAAAAUUCUACUUCAUAUUUACUCGGCUUGAUUUCAUUUGGUGCCUUAAUUAUUUUGCAUUAAUAAUCCUAAAUUUCUUAGAGAAACCUUUGUGGUGUACCAACUAUUUCACGUAUUCUUGCAACAAUAGGGAGUACUUUUAUCUUGGGCAGUUGCCCUACUUAACUGGUGUGGUGUCUCUUAUAUAUGAGGCCAUAACUCUCAUCAUACUUAUGGUACAUACUUUCUUUCCAUUAUCAUUUGAAGGGUACCAUCUCUAUUGGAAAAGUCUCCUUAAUCGAGUAAAGGUGGCUUGCUUGUUAAUUUUGGUUGCUGAUAUAUUGGUUUAUGCCCUCUACUUGUCUCCCAAAGCCUAUGAUUUUCUUCCUUUUAGAAUCGCACCAUAUAUCAGAGUCGUGUUUUUCAUGCUGAACUUUAGGGAAUUACGAGCAACCAUCAUAAUCCUGGCUGGAAUGCUUGGCACGUACUUAAAUGUCUUGGCUUUAGGUCUAUUGUUUCUUCUGUUUUCCAGUUGGUUAGCCUUUGUAAUGUUCGAAGAUACCCAACAGGGAAAGACAGUAUUUACUUCAUAUGGCACUACUCUGUAUCAGAUGUUUGUUUUGUUCACCACAUCCAACAACCCAGAUGUCUGGAUUCCUGCAUACAAGGCUUCGCGUUGGCAUUGCCUGUUUUUUGUUCUCUAUGUGCUAUUGGGGGUUUACUUUGUCACCAACUUGAUCCUUGCUGUCGUAUAUGACAGCUUCAAAAGUCAGCUUGUGAAACAAGUUUCUGAGAUGGAUUCUACAAGGAGGCGUGUAUUGAAGAAAGCAUUUAAUCUCAUAGAUAAACAUAAUUGUGGAUUUAUUGACAAAGAGCAAUGUGUUCAACUGUUUCAGGAACUAAAUAAAUACAGGACUUUGCCUAAUAUAUCUGGGGAAGAAUUUGAGUUGAUUUUUGAUGAGCUGGAUGAUAGUCAAGACUUCAAGAUCAACUUGGACGAAUUUGCUGACCUUUGCAAUGCCAUUGCUCUAAAAUUCCGGAAGGAAGAUUCUCCAUCUUGCUUUGAAAAAUGUCCAUUCUACCAUUCACCCUUCUCUGAAAAAUUGAAAGGCUAUGUACGGCGUCCCAUAUUUGGAUACAUUGUAUCCUUCAUUCUUGUGCUGAAUCUGUUGGCUGUUAUUGUUGAAACAACGCUUGAUAUUGAAAACAAUUCUGCUCAAAAGGUGUGGCAAGAGGUUGAGUUUGUCUUUGGGUGGAUAUAUGUAUUUGAAAUGGCUCUAAAAGUCUAUGCAUUUGGAUUUAAAAAUUAUUGGAGGGAUGGUCAAAACCGUUUUGAUUUUCUCGUCACAUGGGUAAUAGUUAUCGGAGAAACCUUAAUUUUUGUGACCCCUGAAGGACUAGCAUUUCUUUCCAAUGGAGAAUGGAUUCGCUACCUUCUCCUCGCAAGAAUGUUAAGGUUGAUAAGGCUACUGAUGCAUGUUCAGCGUUACCGUGCCUUCAUUGCCACUUUCAUAGCCCUUAUACCAAGCUUGAUGCCAUACCUUGGGACCAUAUUUUGUGUCCUUUGUAUUUAUUGUUCUCUUGGUGUGCAGAUCUUUGGUGGAAUUGUCAAUGAUGGAAAUGCCAGUUUGGAAGAAACAGAUCUUGCUGAUUACGACUAUUUACUUUUCAAUUUCAACGACUAUCCAAAUGGGAUGGUGACACUUUUUAAUCUACUAGUUGCGGGAAAUUGGCAAAUGUGGAUGGAGAGCUACGAGGAAUUAACCGGAACUUCAUGGACACUCGCUUAUUUUUUCAGCUUUUACUUAGUAACAGUGUUACUGCUCUUGAAUUUGAUUAUAGCUUUUGUCUUGGAGGCAUUCUUUGCUGAAAUGGAUCUUGAGUCAUCAGAAAACUGUAAUGAGCAGGACAAGGAAGUGGAUGGAGGAAAGGGGCGUCGACGAUCUGUGGGCACAAAAUCACAAAGCCAAAGGGUUGAUGCUCUUCUUCAUCAUAUGUUGAGUGCAGAGCUCGAUCGACCAGAGUCUUCUAAUCCAUAGGACCUUCUCAUGGUUCAGCAUUAACUUGGCAUAGGUGGAUGAAAAUUGUUGUGUUUGCAGCAAGAUGCAACUUGACCUGGAUGAGACACAACUAGAGGGCGCGGAUGGGACACAGCCUGAGCGCUUAUUGUAGUUCUGAACUUGGUGUUACAGUCUUGUUGUUGAAGUACCCGAGAAGCUUUGUUGUAAUGCUUGAACUUUGUUAGUAAAGUGGUCCGGAUUUGGUAUUGGGGACUUUGUUAAACUAGGUUGAUUACUGUUGGUGGUGUUUGGUUAUUGAAGUUCUAGAUUUGGUGUUAUUAGGUAUUUUUGUUGUUAUUUUCUUUAAAGCUUUGGUGUAUUUUUGUUGUUAUUGAAGCUCCAGAUUUGUUAUUAUAGACUUUGUUAUUGACGUUUGAGAGGUUGGGGUGACAAAUAUUUUGGUUAUUGAAGUUAGUGUUUGUGUUAUUA